GGGGAUGAAGGAAGUCUGAUCUUCGAGAAAUUCACAAUGAACUGUUAAGAAUCAAGAAAGAGCUGAAGAAGAUACUUGACGAUAUCGAAAAGAGCAAGAUUGAUCUCUGUAAAAGAGCAGAUGAGAUCGAGAUGAGAGAGAUGGCACUAUCCCAUAGAAAUGAGGAGGUUGUGAACAAGGAGAUGACGCUUGUUGUACGCGAAGCUGAAUUAAGACGUUCACGCACACUACUCCAGGUGUAUUGGGCAUUUACAUUUGUUGUAGCAUGUUAUUUGUAUUGUCGAUAAGUGACUUAGGAUUAGUAACUUAGUCUGAUUGUGUAGAUUAAGACACUCAGAAUAUUUUCAAAGU